rnacentral:snRNA from 13 species
AUCGCUUCUCGGCCUUUUGGCUAAGAUCAAGUGUAGUAUGGUUUUUCAUGUCUUAAAAAUGUUUUACCCUUGUUAGAUCAUUAGUACACAUUUUAAAUGGCUUUUACAGAUUUGAUGUUUUUACAAGGAAAGUACU